rnacentral:tRNA from 3 species
GGCCCCAUCGUCUAGCGGUCUAGGACACCGGCCUUUCACGCCGGUAACACGGGUUCGAGUCCCGUUGGGGUCA